CUACGGGGUGCAGCAGUGAGGAAUAUUGCACAAUGGAGGGAACCCUGAUGCAGCAACGCCGCGUGGAGGAUGACGCAUUUCGGUGUGUAAACUCCUUUUAUAUGUCAAGAAAAUGACGGUAGCAUAUGAAUAAGCACCGGCUAACUCCGUGCCAGCAGCCGCGGUAAUACGGAAGGUGCAAGCGUUACUCGGAAUCACUGGGCGUAAAGGACGCGUAGGCGGGUUGGAAAGUCAGGUGUGAAAUCCUACAGCUUAACUGUAGAACUGCACUUGAAACUUCUAAUCUAGAGUAUGGGAGGGGGAGAUGGAAUUAGUGGUGUAGGGGUAAAAUCCGUAGAUAUCACUAGGAAUACCUAAAGCGAAGGCGAUCUCCUGGAAUAUUACUGACGCUAAGGCGUGAAAGCGUGGGGAGCAAACAGGAUUAGAUACCCUUGUAGUC
rnacentral:rRNA from 1 species